GCUGCUGUAGCUCAGUCGGUAGAGCGCAUCCUUGGUAAGGAUGAGGUCACCAGUUCGAAUCUGGUCAGCAGCU
rnacentral:tRNA from 1 species